UAGGUACGUUGCAUUUAUUUAAUAUUUUGACGUACCUACAUAUAACUAUAUGAGUAAUGGCAAAUUAUAUAGACUUGGGCUAAGUCACUUGGCCAUAAUCAGGUUUGCAUUAGGUAUUAAGUCCAUAAUAUUAAAAUUUAAAACACACGAGUACAUGACGUAUGCCUUGUAUAUUAAAUUUUGUAUUGAGUAAGGACAUUUGAUUAUAGUUGUAAUCGUGCAUAUUAUAAGGAAUAAAGUUAAACAAUAUUACAAUGUACGAGUAAUAAAAGUGUGAUAAUGAGAGAAAGGGGGCCUUUGAGAUUUCGAACUAAGAUAAUAUUAUUUUCUGGAAGUGCUUUAAUUAUUUCAUACAGCGUACAGACAGCCAACUAUUGACUAAUGAGAUAAAAUUAAUUUUAAAACGUGUUACCUACAUUGGCGUUUGAACCCGUGUACUUAACAUUAUCCCAUCACAUUUCGUUUCUUAUCUCUACAAUAGUACCGCCUAUGAAGUCAUUUCCUGUAGGCACCUAUUCCCAAAUCCAUUCAAUCUGCACAGUCGGGUACGAUGAUUAUCGGAUUUGAUUAGGUUAAGCAUUGCAAUAACCAAUAUCUUAACCGUUCGCAGCCAGUUCUAGCCGUUCUAGUAGAUAAUAGAUAAUAUAAUAAAAUAUUAUACCACCUUAAUGUUUAUGAACUUAUCCCUUAUGGAUCAUAAUUUGUAAGAGGACUUCGUCCCACCCGCAUGUGUUGUCUCCGUCUUACAAAUGUACAACAUGAGAAAAACUGUUCUGCCCGGGACAACUUUACUUCCUCUGUGUUUAAAUCUACUAUAGUAGAAUUAUCAAAAUUCCACAACGAAUAGGGAAGAACUUUUAUCUGAGUAGUAGUGUUUUCAUUUUUUUUUUGAUAACACUGACCAAUAACUUUUAAUAAUUAAAUCAAGGCCUCAAAACCGGUAAAAACCCGUACAUUUGUGAACUGAAAAUCGAUAAACACUUUUAGUUUUGGAAUGCUGGAAGCGAUUAUUGGUUAUCGGUGGUAAUCAACGUAAAUAUAUAAAUAUUAAUAUCAAUAUCAAAGUGGUUACCUUGUAUUUUCAAUCACGGUUCUAUAACCAAAACCUAUUCCCGACCAAAAUAACGUUUUUUCGUGAUAUUUGAUACACGAAUUAUGUCAUGAUUAUAAUACUUUAAUUUUCCAGCUAUUUUUAAAUUUUUUUCCCCAAUUAAUUGCUUAUCUGUUCUGAAUAUCAUAUACAAAGUGUAACAGAAAGAACUGACCAAAAAAAAAUAAUUAAUGCUAUUUAACAAAAAUUGAUAAAAUUAUACGAUUAGUAAAUAGUUUUAGAAAUAUACCCAUGUUAGCAAAUUUCCAAAAAUAAUAUUGUGUUCCAAAUUAAUUUGAUCAAAAAAAUAUUGAUAUUUAAAAAAUUUCUAAAAAAUAAACUACUUGACUUAGAUAAAUGUUUUUACCAUCCAAAUCGUUCUUAUAUAGUGAGUUUCACAAAUUGGCUAUUUUGAAUUCAUUCAAAAUUUUCAAUAUUAAAAAAUAAAAAUAAUUUUUUUUUAUUAUUACACAUGUAGCGCAAAUGGCUAUAAAUUAUUUAUAAAAUAAUUUUUUAAAAUAUUGAUUAGAACAAAAGUCAGUUCUAUCUGUUACACUCUGUAUAUAUAAUAGGUAUAUCUAUAUAUUAUAAAUACCAUCAAAAACGUCGUCGUCGUCGUGCGCUGAUUUCUAUUCCGAAAUAAUUGGUGGAAUAAGGGCUUAUUAGUCUAUUUAGUAUUUACUACUAUUUACGAUAUUUUAAUCAAGAAUAAAGUCUGAGAUUUACGUUGUUAUUAUAUCGUGUUAAUGCUCGUUCAGCGUUCUGCACACUCGGGUUUUGGUGUACUGUAAUAUAUAAAAAGUUCUGUGUCAAUGUAUCACUCUUAGUCUCAUCUUGGAAAAUUAUUUUAUUUAAUUGUGGUUUUUUACAGUUAUAAAUAAGACAAUUAUAAAGGUGGGUCCUUGAGCAAAAUUACAUUGUUUAAAAUUUUGCGGCGCAAGCGAUCCGUAGGCCAACGGAUAGCGUGCGUGCCGCACACCAAAUCUUACGUGAUGCACAACUAAUGUGAACGCCGCUUAACAAUAAAAAAAUUGUAUACAAUUUAAUUUUUGGAUUUUUUAAGAUACCCAUUAUCUUGAUCAUAAUAAGUUUUAAACUUAAAAGCAGUUUGUAAAAAUAAAUAUCAAAAUUAAGUGAAAUCGACCAAAUUAAAGCAUAAUAUUAAGUUUUUGAUUUUGUAAUAAUAAUAGUUGUGUUAUCAACCCACAAAAUAAACUGUUUUAAAAAAUACGAUUUUUAAAAACCGGUAACUGAUUACCAAAAAACCUUAUCAACAGUUCUUAAACGAUUUACGAUUAUCAUAGUGUUUGAAAUAUAUUUAAAGAAACGGUUACCGGUUACCAUAAUAUCAAAAUUAAACGAUAACCGGUUACCGGUUUUAAAAAAUAUUACUGACUAUUGGGAACGGUUUUAAGCCCUGAUUACUUAAAUGAAAAAAAACAAAUAAAAUCUAAUGUUCUCUACUUAGACAUAUUAAUAAUAUGUCUAUACUUCUCUAAAUAAUAACUUUAAAUGCAUUUAUUCAAAUGAUAAAACCUAACAGAUAGACACAGAUAAAGACAUAAAGUUCUUCCCGAUGCGUUGUAGAAUUUUGGUAAUUCUACUAUAAAUACAGAGGAAAUAAAAUUGUCCCGCGCAAAACAGUUUUAUCAAGUUCGGGUCGGUUGGAAAUUCGAUAAAAAAAAAAGAAAAAGAUCCCUACCGUUCUGUUUGCAAACAUUUUUCAGCUCUCCCCCACCCUUCCCAAGGAAAAAUAUUGAUAUAGCGCUAUGGCCAUUAUUCAAUUCCGUAGGGGGCACUGGGGAAGUAACAAGUGAUAAGUAUUCUUGUUCUACAAAAGCAAAAAGAAUAAAAUUAAGUCCCCCCCAAAAAAAAAUGUUGUGGAUACGGCACGCAGCACUAUCAUUGCUCUCAGUUAUAACACUAUUACAGGUAAAUUAGGAAAUCUUAAUUAUUUAUCAAUUGAUAAGUUUACACAAUUUUCGAACUAAUUUUUUCCGCGGUCUACAAAUACUAGCUAUCAUUAACAUAUUAUCAAUGAUUAUAAAUACUAGUAGUAUAGUAUAGAAUUUAUAAUAUAGCUUUACAUUGGUACAACCACAAAAAUAUCCCUUAUUGAUUUAGAUAUAGGUAAGCCCUCUGUGGGUUAUUUUAAAUUAACUGUUUUGUUAGGUGUUUUAAAGAUAUUCUCUGUAAUAUUAUUUAAAUUUUUUUGUGUCACUUUAUAAACUGGAGUAACCAAAUUAAAAUUAUAAGGAAAGAGGUUAGGCAUCGUUAAAAUAUCUUUUUUGAAGCUUAGUUGAGCUAAAUAAUGAACUAACAGGUUUUAUGAUAUAUUUGUGAUAUUACUACAAAUUAGAUGAUCAUGAUUCAUGAUAUUAUCAAAUUCUGGUGAUACACUUUUUCUUAAAUUUUCUUCAUAUUCAGUAAAACAUUUAUAUUAUAAUUUAUGUUUAUAGCUGUUUUUAUAUAAGUGGUAAAUGUACUUCAUCGCAUAACCAUUAUGCCGCUAUGCUAUAACGUACCUAUUGUAUUUUCGAAUUAACCCUGUUCAGAGGACGCUAUACCCGCAUGUAUUGUCUCUGUCUUACAAAUGCACAACAUGGCGAUAACGUUAUCUGUGUCGUAGCGUUUUUGUUUUACUUUCUUGAUUUUUAAUCAAGAAAGUAUGGUAAUUUAAAUUAAUAAAGUCUAAAUUUUAAAAACUUCAAGAAUUUGUGUUAAAUAGGAAAAUAAUAAAAAUGUAACUCAGUAAUGAUGAGUAAGAGGGUUUAGCUAGCUUUAAUAUAAAAUAUAAAUGAGAGAGAUUUGAUCACACCCAAGCGGUAUAACCGCUUGAAUUCAUAAAAAAAACGUCGGCGUGAACAGUCCUAAAAUUGCUAUUUUUUAACUUUUCAUUUAAACUAUGAUAGCUACAAAGUUGGUUGAUAACUCAUUAAAAAGGGUUUAUCAAGUAGACGCAAAAUGUGGAAUUAAAAUUUUUUACUGAUAAAAAAGAGUUACUUUUUGCUACAUUUUUAUUUAGCAAAGAAGAUUUCCGAAACUGGAGAACGGACUUUGUUGUUUGGAGUCUUUUAAUUAAAAAUCAAGAAAGUUUACAUGCCAAUCCCUGACUUGGCAAGCGUUUUUUUGAUAGCAUUUACCAAAUAUUUUUUUAUAAUUAAACGAAAAAAAAAAAACCUAAUGUUCUCAAACUGAAAACUUAAAUUGUAUUUAUGUUAUCCAAAUAAUAAAAACGCUACGACACCUAUGCGUUGUGGAAUUUUGAUAAUUCUACUAUAAAUACCGAGGGAGCAUAGUUGUCCCGCACAAAACAUAUUUUGCUAUGUUGUGCAUUUGUAAGACGGAGACAACGCAUGCCUCUUAAUUACGUUAUUAAAAAUAAUUUGGAAUGCCGGAUAGAGAACACAAUUUUAUUAUUUUUAUAUUUUUAAUUACAGUUAGAUAAUAAUUAUGAUAUUUUUUUCCUUUUAAUACUUUUUUACCCACGGAUAUAGAUACUAUGUGAUCCAAUAUAAGCCGUCGUGCAACCAUAUUAACUAUACCCGUGGUUUUACCCGUAGAGUAAAGAAUAUACCUAAAGGAUUUACCUCACUUAUCAGUUAUCGCUAUCCUCUGUCUGGUGAGAGAGAGCAACUGGCGUCUGGGAGUAGAGUAGGUGGCGACUACAACUGAUAUAAUGAAGUGAAAACAAGCAGCUUAUCAUUAGCCUCGAAAGUAUGUCCAAGAGGCAAAUGCAGGGGGGUUACAAUAUUUUUUGAGAGUUUGCAGCGCCAUCUGUAUAAAACACGGUCUAAGAUACAAAAUGUGACACCAAACAAAACCACCGGAAGUACUGAAAAUAUUGAAAAAAAAGUUGAUGAUAACCACAAUUAAAGAUAGUACUAUCUAUAGCCUUGAUUAUAAGCUUAGAUUAUAUACUAUGGCACAGUCUUAGAAGAUAAGGUCGGACAACUUCCCACCCUCCCGCCUAUUACAAUAUUUCCGCUCAAUGAGGCAAAAACAUUUCCCAAGUUGUCGCAAAAACGCUGCCGGCUAGACUUAUUUUGAGGUUAAGGACAAUAUUUAUUUGGCAUUCGGGGUUAUUUUUAAGGACUAUAUUAUUAUAUUAUUUUCUCUGACCAUAUAAACUAGCUAGUUAAUAUUAUGGUCGAAGGUUAUUUUAAACUUGUAUAAUACUAUAAAGCCAUAACCUCAAAAAAAGUCUGCAGGGCAGCGCUCAAUUGUACAGCGGAAAAAUUUUGAAAUGGAUUUGCCUCACUAAGCGGAAUGCUGAUAACUUAUAGUUGUCCGACCUUAUCUUCCAAGACCGUGUUCAUGGAUAGAGCUACUGGCUAAAUAUAUGAUCUAAGAUGAUAACUGAGAAAUCUUUUGCGGGCCAUCAACCGCACACCAUGUCGUUUCCAGUCUGUGAUAGCGACCAAAAAAAGUCUUAGUCCACGCAUCCCCCACCACCAAUCUCACGUAGCGCCUGUUCGGCAAUCACCGUGCUGCAGGCCGUCAAACGAACUAUGCACCGUCGCGUCUUGUGCUACUCGUAUUCAAUGCUCAUUGAUAAUACAAUUUGUAAACAAACUUGAAACUACUGAAAUGGAAGAAAAGUUUAAUGCUGUCGUACCAGUCAAAAAAAAUCCACGUGGAAAGUUUGUUGGUUGUCAACAGAGACAAAUGAUUAUCAAUUUGUACAUAUCAAAAAUGACAGAGCAAGCCACACUGCCAGAUCAACGACACCUUAAAUACAUAGACCUCAUCAAAUUGAUGUCACAGGAAACCGGUAUUGGUCAACGCACAAUUUCAAUGACUUUAUCUGAAUAUAAGAGAAAAGGUACGAUUUCUUCUCCUAAUAGAAAAAAAGUAAGACCAAAGUUAACUGAAAAAGUUAAUGAAUUUGAUAAAAAUGCUAUUCGACGAAAAAUACAUGGGUUUUGGCAUCGAAAAGAAUUUCCAACUUUUGAAAAAAUAAUGGCAUCAAUCAAUGACGAUCCCAGCUUAUCGAAUUUUUCGCGUUCAUCUUUGCAAUUAUUAUUAAAAGACUUAAAUUUCGUAUACACUAAAACAAAACGAAAUUUUGCUUUAAUCGAAAGAGGUGAUAUAGUCUGCUGGAGACAAAAGUACUUGGAAUCUAUUAGAUAUUAUCGUAGCCAUGGUCGUCAAAUUUAUUACCUUGAUGAAUCUUGGAUAAACGUAGAAGAAUCAGCUAAAUCAGUCGAUACCACAAUUCAAUCUGGACAAAAGAAUCCAUCAGGUAAAGGAAAACAAUUAAUUGUUGUUCACAUAGGAUCGUCUGAUGGGUUUGUUGCUGGUGGUCUUUGGGAUUUUGAAUCAAAAAACAAUUCUAGCGAUUAUCAUGACGAAAUAAAUGAUGUUACAUUUUACGAAUGGUUUAGUGGCAUUAUAUCGUUGCUGGAAGACAACGCAGUGAUCGUUAUGGAUACUGCAUCGUACCAUUCGGUCAAAAAAGAUACGUUUCCCCUCAUUUCGUGGGAAAAAGGUAAAAUUAUUAAAUGGUUGGAGGAUAAAGGAAAGUUAAUUCAUCGACCAAUGGUUAAACAUCAACUAUUAGAGGAGGCAGAACAAUUUCGACCGGUUUGUGAAAAAUACGUAAUUGAUGAAUUAGCAAAAGAAAAUAAUAAAAUAGUACUUAGGUUACCUCCAUAUCAUUCUGAGUUAAACCCAAUCGAGUUGGCAUGGUCCUUUGUAAAACGCUAUGUCAAAACAAAUAAUACGACAUUCAAAUUACCAGAUGUACAAAAACUACUACACGAAGGUGUGGAACUAGUUACACCUCAGAUGUGGAAAAAUUUUAUAAAUCACGUCAUCAAAGAAGAAGAUAAGUUCUUUGAAAUCGACUUCAUCACCGAUGAACUUUUGGAAACGGAACUCACGGAACCCAAUACUUUACAUUUAGUAACCAUAAAAGAUGACAUCUCUGAUUCUGAAUCUGAAUUUGACGACUAAUAAAAUAUUUGUAGUGUAAUAUUGUUAAUAUAAUUUACAGUAUAAUGUAUUGUUUAUUGUAAAUAGUUAUUAUGUACCAUUAACUGUUUUCAUAUGCCAUUUUGUUUUUAUAUAAAUGUAUUUAGAUAUAUAAGUACAUUGUAAAGAAAUCCAUUAAAACACUUAUUCUUAUAAAUGAUAAAUCGAGGAUUUUAAUAAUAAUUUGUAAAGUGAAAUUAUACGUAUUUCAAAAAUGGUUUCACAUAUAAAAUUAAUGUCCAUACGCGCCCGGAAGGGGGACACUGCCUCCCUGGCUUUCCAGAAAAUGUUUAAAUUGAAUAUAUUAUGAUAAAUUACAAUAUAACAAAUUGAAAGUGGUUCUAUGAAAAAAAAUAAAGGUCACCAUUAUAAAAAUCCUAUUAAGCCGAGUUAAUACUACUUAUAUACUUCUUCCAAGAAAAAUUUUUUCAGGUGCCUUUGCAAAUGUCAGUAAGUAUGAACUUUAAUUUGCACCUUGUCUUUGAUCUUUAUUCCAUUCGACUUUAUCCAAAAUGUAUUAAAUGAAUUGUUUAAAUUAUUUGCAUUUUGCACAUUCAUUGCCAUUCAUGACCAAAUCCAAUUUUUGUUUAAUCAAUAAGAAAUUAAAUCUUUAAUGAUAUCUACUAUAGAUUUUUAUCAAUAUGAACGGUUUUAUAAUUAUGUUCAAUACUAUUAUAUUUAUCAAUUCAUAUUAAUACACGUCUACACUACGCCCCGUGGUUUUCUUAAGAUUUUCUUAAGCCGUGUACCUAUACUAUAUACUAUAAUAAUCCGUAGAAGGUAGAUCGUAAUACUAGAUUGAUAAAUAACAGAAAUUAAAUAAUUUAUAAUUUAUAUCAUAAGAUUUUCUAAAUAUAUUAUCAAUAUUCGAUAUAACUGCAAGUAUUAUUUUCCCAAGUAGUUCAUUUUUACAACUAUGUAUUGUACGUGUAUUGCGUCACUUACGAAUUACGUUACGAAUAUAUACCUAAUAAUUAUUUAAAAAUAGUUGUAUUAGUUCUUUGUGUUCUUAAAAUAAUUCCCUCAGUAAUCCGGGAAAUCGAUCAUUCGAUUGGAAACGAUAUUAAUAUAGAACACCUCCAAACAAAAAUAUCACUGCCCAAGUUUUUAACCUUAAUUUAGAUUUUCUCAAUAUCAUUGCUACUACACACUGAAAUAAAAAUUGAACAGCCCCACAUAAAACGACAGAUACUCCAACAUCUAAAUUGUCAAACAUGAAACUACUGCGCUUACCUAUUAAUAGGAUGUCAGCGCACUAUUUGUUUUCUCUCUGACCCAUGCGCAACAUAGACAUAACGCAUUUGCGCAGAAUCGUUUUUUCUAUGUUUUUAAGUAAUUUUAGAGUAAAAUCACCUAUUACAAAAAAGAUAGAAAACAAUAUUUUAGAGGGAAUGACAUAUGGGUCUUAUAUUUUGUUGUUAUUUGACUUUGUAUUCGACUUUCAAAAUAAACAAAAAAAUUUUAUUAAUUUAAAUUAUGUUUAAAUCGUUUUGAAACAAUAUUUAAAGAAAUCGAUAUGUCAUUCCCUCAAAAAUAUUAUUCUAUAUCUUUUUUGUCAUGAGUGAUUUUACUUUAAGAUUACUUAAAAACAUAGAAAAAACGAUUCAGCGCAAAUGCAUUUUGCCUAUGUUGCGCGUGGGCUAGAGAGAGAAAUCAAAUAGUGCGCUGACAUCCUCUUAAAAUAUUUGAAAUGUGGUAGCAACCACUCAACUCUGUCCUGCAUGAAAUUUCCAGAUAUGCUUGAAAAAUGUGCAUCCUGUUAACGCACCCCGUACCCACCCAGCCAGUUAUAAAUGCUGCACCAUUUACAAGCAAUUCAUCCCAAACCCCCUCAACUUCUUGGUAAAGAUCCUAACAUCUCAUACAGAAACCCUCAACAUUUUUAACCAUCGAAGUAGUGACCAACAUCCCAGAAGUCCACCAUCAACAAACGCCUCAACCAACCGACGUACGUACUAUGCGAAUGUAACCGAGGUUCACCGCUCACCUAACCCAAAUGCCUACCAAUAAAUAUCAAUGAAAUAGAUAAUUCUACAAAUUAAUAUAGAAUUUACAUCGCUAAGCAAAGUUAGUAGGUAUACAAGCGCGUAUGACUAAGGAAAACGCGCGAAAACAUAUGACUGUGACGAGACAAGAAACACUCGCCGAAGAGCCGAUGACACGAAUGAGAUGACGGUGGGAGUCGGGUGGGGACGCUUAAGUUCCGGUGCCCAAACACUCGUUAUAAAACCUAAUAAAUACUCUAUACAUUACGGAUCUACGUUAGUAGUACCAUAACAACACAUUCGCCUGACGAAUCUCUUCGUCCGGCUUCAAAACGAACGGCGUGGACGUCUAGGCCUGACCGCGGUUUAUCGUCAGGCCGUCCCCGCAUCCAUGUUUUGUGCCGGACUUGACGACUGCCGUACGUCGGCUUCUACCUUUCAAACCUGCAGGGGCAAAAACGCUGAGACGGGUAACGGUGUCCCGAUCCGGCUAACUUCUGCUGUGGCUAGGGCAUCAACAUCGCAAUAGACGAUUCAGCAUAUGGUGAAUAGGUCGAAACUGCAGGCAACUCUGUGAACUUGACGGACGGAAAUUCAAACUCGGGUGCAUCGCCCGCAGAAUUUGUAAGCACGGUGAUGUUAGGCAUGGAUACAAUUUGCCAGUGCACCUGCAAACCUUGGAAAUCGAGACAUUCUACUUAUCCGGAUAUCGUUGUUAGCCAGCAGCAUUAAAUUGGGUGUUGAUUUCCACCCGACCUCUGGUGCCGUGGCUGCUGAAUUCGAACUCAAAGUCAUAUUAGGAAUCGAUGCAUAUCUUGAAUGCACCCGAAAGCUCUUGACAUUGCAGCUCUCCGACGGUUUCAGUAUAUUCCUCCGGGGAUCUUCGAAAACCGAUUGCAUCAAUUCGGUUGGGGACGAGAUCUUGAUAUCGGUCGAACAGUCGUCGAGAGCUACAAUAUUCGACAUAUUGAUAAUAUAGAAUUUUGUUGGUGAAAAAUAUUCCUGGUUACAAUAAUUAUUCACAAAAUGGAUAGUACAAAGAGCAAAUGUGUUUUGUUAACUGGUGGCGCAGGGAAAUGAAGGACAAAAUCCAGUACCUAUAUCGCAAGUUGAAAAAUUAGUUGGAAAGACAGUCACAUUCUAUAACGUUGAUCUCUUGGAUUAUGAUUCACUCUCCAAAGUAUUUGAUAAGCAUAAUUUCUGUUGUGUUA